rnacentral:tRNA from 1 species
AGGGGUAUGGUGUCAAUGGUAGCAUGACGGUCUCCAAAACCGCGGGUUCGAGUUCGAAUCUUGAUACCCCUG